AGAGUUUGAUCAUGGCUCAGGACGAACGCUGGCGGCGUGCCUAACACAUGCAAGUCGAGCGGGGAGAAGAAUUCGUUUUUCUCUUUAGCGGCGGACGGGUGAGUAACACGUGGGUAACCUGCCUCAAAGAGGGGGAUAGCCUUCCGAAAGGAAGAUUAAUACCGCAUAAUAUCAGGAAGCUGCAUGGCAUUCUGAUCAAAGGAGCAAUCCGCUUUGAGAUGGACCCGCGGCGCAUUAGCUAGUUGGUGAGGUAACGGCCCACCAAGGCGACGAUGCGUAGCCGACCUGAGAGGGUGAUCGGCCACAUUGGAACUGAGACACGGUCCAGACUCCUACGGGAGGCAGCAGUGGGGAAUAUUGCACAAUGGGGGAAACCCUGAUGCAGCAACGCCGCGUGAGUGAUGAAGGCCUUCGGGUCGUAAAGCUCUUUGAUCAGGGACGAUAAUGACGGUACCUGAAAAACAAGCCACGGCUAACUACGUGCCAGCAGCCGCGGUAAUACGUAGGUGGCGAGCGUUGUCCGGAUUUACUGGGCGUAAAGAAUGCGUAGGUGGAUAUUUAAGUGGGAUGUGAAAUCCCCGGGCUCAACCCGGGAACUGCAUACCAAACUGGAUAUCUGGAGUGCAGGAGAGGAAA
rnacentral:rRNA from 5 species